CAGCAGCCGCGGUAAUACGUAGGGUGCAAGCGUUAAUCGGAAUUACUGGGCGUAAAGCGUGCGCAGGCGGUUAUAUAAGACAGAUGUGAAAUCCCCGGGCUCAACCUGGGAACUGCAUUUGUGACUGUAUAGCUAGAGUACGGCAGAGGGGGAUGGAAUUCCGCGUGUAGCAGUGAAAUGCGUAGAUAUGCGGAGGAACACCGAUGGCGAAGGCAAUCCCCUGGGCCUGUACUGACGCUCAUGCACGAAAGCGUGGGGAGCAAACAGGAUUAGAUACCCCGUAGUCCCUGUCUCUUAUACA
rnacentral:rRNA from 1 species